GGUGGAACUCAUACCACACUAAUAUACUAGAUCCCAUCAAAACUCUACAAUUAAGCAUGCUUGGAUGAGAGUGGUAAUAAGAUGAAUGACUUCUUAAAAAGUUCAUUUUUUAACAU
rnacentral:rRNA from 1 species